rnacentral:rRNA from 1 species
GGCCGAUGAAAGAUUCUAAGUGUUGGAGGGUUUCCGCCCUUCAGUGCUGCAGCUAACGCAUUAAGUAAUCCGCCUGGGGAGUACGACCGCAAGGUUGAAACUCAAAAGAAUUGACGGGGGCCCGCACAAGCGGUGGAGCAUGUGGUUUAAUUCGAAGCUACGCGAAGAACCUUACCAGGUCUUGACAUCUUCUGCCAACCUAAGAGAUUAGGCGUUCCCUUCGGGGACAGAAUGACAGGUGGUGCAUGGUUGUCGUCAGCUCGUGUCGUGAGAUGUUGGGUUAAGUCCCGCAACGAGCGCAACCCUUAUUACUAGUUGCCAGCAUUCAGUUGGGCACUCUAGUGAGACUGCCGGUGACAAACCGGAGGAAGGUGGGGACGACGUCAAAUCAUCAUGCCCCUUAUGACCUGGGCUACACACGUGCUACAAUGGAUGGUACAACGAGUUGCGAAACCGCGAGGUUUAGCUAAUCUCUUAAAACCAUUCUCAGUUCGGACUGUAGGCUGCAACUCGCCUACACGAAGUCGGAAUCGCUAGUAAUCGCGGAUCAGCAUGCCGCGGUGAAUACGUUCCCGGGCCUUGUACACACCGCCCGUCACACCAUGAGAGUUUGUAACACCCAAAGCCGGUGGGGUAACCUUUUAGGAGCUAGCCGUCUAAGGUGGGACAGAUGAUUAGGGUGAAGUCGUACAAAGGGUAACCAAAAGUUGGGGGGGAAAACCGGGGGGUUUUA